UAGACUUAUAUUGGGUUUGGUUGCAAUUUCCAUUUUCUCUAUCUAUUUAACUGAGCCUCUCACUGCCUUCCUCUUUGUGCUGCCUUUCUCUACGGACUCUUAACCACAAGUAGCAAGCAAAGCAGAGCAGGGUUUGUUGACAACAGCACUGCAAUGUCUCUGAGGAAAAUCAAGGUCGAACCAAUGCAGAGUCAAAAUGAAGCUGAAAAAGAUGAAAUUUCAGGCGCAUCUCCUGAAGAUGCACAAUACUCAAUACCGAAUUGCAUUCGUAUCUUGGAAAAACUAAGGGUGGAUAGUUAUCUCAGAGGAGAAGAAUUAGGAUUUGCAGUAGAAUUAACUAGAGAUAGCCACAGUAGAGUCGUAAUCAUAUCCUCAGAAGAUUCACCGAAUUUAUUACUUGAUUGGAUUUACUACAUGUAUAGGAAAAAUGUUUAGUUGGUUAAGAAUUUAGAUUUGGUUCUGUUCUGUGUUUGUUAUGCACUUGUUAAACAUUGACAACUUGCAUUGAAGUUUAUGUUUAUCCAUUUGAAUUCUUGAUAUAAUCAUGUAUUUGCAUUCAGUGAUGUUAUUAUAAUCAUGAAGUUUUUCGGUUUGAGAAAA